CUCUCCCUAAAAACAUCACCAUCGCUCUUCUUUCUCUCUGUAAAACUCCUCUCUCUCUCUCUCUAAAGCAUCAUCACCACUCCUCUUUCUCUUAGUGACAUUGCAUUUUGGUGGCGGCAGUUUGGUGGUGGCAGUGGCGGUUGUUGGUAGUGGUUGUGGAAGUGGAAGUGGAAGUUGUGGCUCGGUUGCCAUGGUGGUUGUGUUGAAUAGUGGUGGUGUCAGUGGCGGUUGGUUGUGGUGGUGAUGGUGAAGGCAACAACAGUGGAUUGAACACUGGCGACGGCGGCAUAAUAGGGUUCUUUCUGGCGGGUAUUACCAGAAAGCUUGGCACGAUCUGAUCUUGAUGUUUAGACUGAAAUCGAAGCUACACGCCCUCUGGAAUCACCCUGUUGGCCAUAAAACAAGGAAGGUGUAUAGAUUGGCAUGAUAAAUUAUCAAGAUAUCAUUCAAAGAACUUGUGCUCGAGCUGAGGGGGAUGAGAGAUGGGAUCGGGAGUAUAUCGAGGAGAGGGAUUGAAGGGAGGCAGUGAACUGGAUGAAUCCAACUAGGUCUCAUAUUGCGUUGGAUGUAGCUCCGGUGGAGAUGGUCAUCAAGGUCAGUGCGCGAACUUGCCUUCAAAAUUGCUGUUGGAUAUAACUGAUAAGAUCCAAGAGAGUGAGACUUUGUGGCCUGUGAGAACUGUUGUUUAUUGUGCAUCUGUUUGUAAGUCAA